ACGCUGACAGAAUGCUUAACACAUGCAAGUCUUUGGCGAAGCUGUGCUUGCACAGCCUAGCCAAGGCGGACGGGUGAGUAACGCGUAAGGAACUUGCCCUGCAGUCAGGGAUAACAGACGGAAACGACUGAUAAGACCUGGUAAAGUCAGGCGGACUCAUGUCCAGCCUGAUGAAAAGAGAUGCUGCAGGAGAGCCUUGCGUCCUAUUAGCUUGUUGGUGGGGUAACGGCCCACCAAGGCGAUGAUAGGUAGCCGGCCUGAGAGGGUGGACGGCCACAAGGGGACUGAGAUACGGCCCUUACUCCUACGGGAGGCAGCAGUGGGGAAUAUUGGACAAUGGGGGCAACCCUGAUCCAGCAAUUCUGUGUGCACGAUGAAGGUUUUCGGAUUGUAAAGUGCUUUCAGCAGGGAAGAAAAAAAUGACGGUACCUGCAGAAGAAGCGACGGCCAAAUACGUGCCAGCAGCCGCGGUAAUACGUAUGUCGCAAGCGUUAUCCGGAAUUAUUGGGCAUAAAGGGCAUCUAGGCGGCCAGAUAAGUCUGGGGUGAAAACUUGCGGCUCAACCGCAAGCCUGCUCUGGAAACUAUGUGGCUAGAGUACUGGAGAGGUGGACGGAACUGCACGAGUAGAGGUGAAAUUCGUAGAUAUGUGCAGGAAUGCCGAUGAUGAAGAUAGUUCACUGGACGGUAACUGACGCUGAAGUGCGAAAGCUAGGGGAGCAAACAGGAUUAGAUACCCUGGUAGUCCUAGCUGUAAACGAUGAUUACUGGGUGUGGGCAUGAAGAGUGUCCGUGCCGAAGCUAAUGCGAUAAGUAAUCCGCCUGGGGAGUACGGCCGCAAGGCUGAAACUCAAAGGAAUUGACGGGGACCCGCACAAGCGGUGGAGCAUGUGGUUUAAUUCGACGC
rnacentral:rRNA from 1 species